ACUCAACCUGAUGACUGGCCUCUCUGUCCCAUUACCCAACCUGAUGACUGACCUCUCUGUCCCAAUACCCAACCUGAUGACUGGCCUCUCUGUCCCAAUACCCAACCUGAUGACUGGCCUCUCUGUCCCAAUACCCAACCUGAUGACUGGCCUCUCUGUCCCAAUACCCAACCUGAUGACUGGCCUCUCUGUCCCAAUACCCAACCUGAUGACUGACCUCUCUGUCCCAAUACCCAACCUGAUGACUGGCCUCUCUGUCCCAAUACCCAACCUGAUGACUGGCCUCUCUGUCCCAAUACCCAACCUGAUGACUGGCCUCUCUGUCCCAAUACCCAACCUGAUGACUGGCCUCUCUGUCCCAAUACCCAACCUGAUGACUGGCCUCUCUGUCCCAAUACCCAGUGCACUACUUUAGACCAGGGCCCAGUGCACUACUUUAGACCAGGGCCGUAGGGACCUGUUUGAAUAGGGUUUCAGACCAGGGCCGUAGGGACCUGUUUGAAUAGGGUUUCAGACCAGGGCCGUAGGGACCUGUUUGAAUAGGGUUUCAGACCAGGGCCGUAGGGACCUGUUGGAAUAGGGUUUCAGACCAGGGCCGUAGGGACCUGUUGGAAUAGGGUUUCAGACCAGGGCCGUAGUGACCUAUUGGAAUAGGGUUUCAGACCAGGGCCGUAGGGACCUGUUGGAAUAGGGUUUCAGACCAGGGCCGUAGGGACCUGUUUGAAUAGGGUUUCAGACCAGGGCCGUAGGGACCUGUUGGAAUAGGGUUUCAGACCAGGGCCGUAGGGACCUAUUGGAAUAGGGUUUCAGACCAGGGCCGUAGGGACCUGUUGGAAUAGGGUUUCAGACCAGGGCCGUAGGGACCUGUUGGAAUAGGGUUUCAGACCAGGGCCGUAGGGACCUAUUGGAAUAGGGUUUCAGACCAGGGCCGUAGGGACCUAUUGGUUAUCUAGUAACAUAAGCAUUUCCCUGCUAUAACACUUCCAAAUCUGUGCAAGCAACCAAUACACUUUGGUUGAUUUGGAAAGUAGUGCACUAUAUAGGGAAUAGUGUUCUAUAGGGCUCUGGUCUAAAGUAGUGCACUAUAUAGGGAAUAGUGUUCUAUAGGGCUCUGGUCUAAAGUAGUGCACUAUAUAGGGAAUAGGGUUCUAUAGGGCUCUGGUCUAAAGUAGUGCACUAUAUAGGGAAUAGGGUUCUAUAGGGCUCUGGUCUAAAGUAGUGCACUAUAUAGGGAAUAGUGUUCUAUAGGGCUCUGGUCUAAAGUAGUGCACUAUAUAGGGAAUAGGGUUCUAUAGGGCUCUGGUCUAAAGUAGUGCACUAUGUAGGGAAUAGGGUGCCAUAAGGCUCUGGUCUAAAGUAGUGCCCUAUAUAGGGAGCCGUUUCAGGCGCUGCCAGAGUCUUCAAAGCCCAUGUCCCCUAGAGGGUUUCUGAAGGGUAGGUACAGGAGUUUUCCCUGACCCCUCUGUAACCUGCAGGAUAAACUCUAUGCCAUAGAACGGACCUCCCAAUUCAUGUCAAUGAUGGCAUACUGGGUGUAGAGUUUCCAUUUUUAUAUUCCAGACCUGACCGAUAAAGAGCUGUUGGCUAUAUGUUUUCCUUUUUUAAACUUCUCAUCUAUGACCUCUAGGUGUUUCAAACCUCUCAUCUAUGACCUCUAGGUGUUAUAAACCUCUCAUCUAUGACAUCUAGGUGUUAUAAACCUCUCAUCUAUGACCUCUAGGUGUUUCAAACCUCUCAUCUAUGACCUCUAGGUGUUUCAAACCUCUCAUCUAUGACCUCUAGGUGUUAUAAACCUCUCAUCUAUGACCUCUAGGUGUUUCAAACCUCUCAUCUAUGACCUCUAGGUGUUAUAAACCUCUCAUCUAUGACCUCUAGGUGUUUCAAACCUCUCAUCUAUGACCUCUAGGUGUUUCAAACCUCUCUAGGACCUCUUGUUGCAGCCGUGACCUAGCGCACGUGAUUCAAAUAGUCAAGGGCUUGAUGAUUGGUUGACAAGUUGAAUCAGGCGUGAUAGCUCUGGAAUAGUUCAAAUACAUGGAACGGCUAGAGGUCCCAGAGGAGAGGUUUGGAAAAGGCUGGAGGUCCCAGAGGAGAGGUUUGGAAAAGCCUGGAGGUCCCGGAGGAGAGGUUUGGAACGGCUGGAGGUCCCAGAGGAGAGGUUUGGAACGGCUGGAGGUCCCAGAGGAGAGGUUUGGAAAAGGCUGGAGGUCCCAGAGGAGAGGUUUGGAAAAGGCUGGAGGUCCCAGAGGAGAGGUUUGGAAAAGGCUGGAGGUCCCAGAGGAGAGGUUUGGAAAAGGCUGGAGGUCCCAGAGGAGAGGUUUGGAAAAGGCUGGAGGUCCCAGAGGAGAGGUUUGGAAAAGGCUGGAGGUCCCAGAGGAGAGGUUUGGAAAAGGCUGGAGGUCCCAGAGGAGAGGUUUGGAAAAGGCUGGAGGUCCCAGAGGAGAGGUUUGGAAAAGGCUGGAGGUCCCAGAGGAGAGGUUUGGAAAAGGCUGGAGGUCCCAGAGGAGAGGUUUGGAAAAGGCUGGAGGUCCCAGAGGAGAGGUUUGGAAAAGGCUGGAGGUCCCAGAGGAGAGGUUUGGAAAAGGCUGGAGGUCCCAGAGGAGAGGUUUGGAAAAGCCUGGAGGUCCCGGAGGAGAGGUUUGGAAAAGACUGAGCUA